rnacentral:rRNA from 1 species
UGGGGAAUAUUGGACAAUGGGCGAAAGCCUGAUCCAGCCAUGCCGCGUGUGUGAAGAAGGUCUUCGGAUUGUAAAGCACUUUAAGUUGGGAGGAAGGGCAUUAACCUAAUACGUUAGUGUUUUGACGUUACCGACAGAAUAAGCACCGGCUAACUCUGUGCCAGCAGCCGCGGUAAUACAGAGGGGGCAAGCGUUAAUCGGAAUUACUGGGCGUAAAGCGCGCGUAGGUGGUUUGUUAAGUUGGAUGUGAAAUCCCCGGGCUCAACCUGGGAACUGCAUUCAAAACUGACUGACUAGAGUAUGGUAGAGGGUGGUGGAAUUUCCUGUGUAGCGGUGAAAUGCGUAGAUAUAGGAAGGAACACCAGUGGCGUAGGCGACCACCUGGACUAAUACUGACACUGAGGUGCGAAAGCGUGGGGAGCAAACA